rnacentral:tRNA from 2 species
GGGGAUGUAGCUCAGUUGGCUAGAGUGUUUGACUGGCAGUCAAAAGGUCGCGGGUUCGAGCCCCGCCUUCUCCA